rnacentral:rRNA from 1 species
UACGUAGGGGGCUAGCGUUGUCCGGAUUUAUUGGGCGUAAAGAGCGUGUAGGCGGCCAGGUAGGUCUGCUGUGAAAACUCGAGGCUCAACCUCGAGACGUCGGCGGAAACCAUCUGGCUAGAGUCCGGAAGAGGAGAAGUGGAAUUCCUGGUGUAGCGGUGAAAUGCGCAGAUAUCAGGAAGAACACCCGUGGCGAAGGCGGCUCUCUGGGACGGUACUGACGCUGAGAAGCGAAAGCGUGGGGAGCGAACAGG